rnacentral:rRNA from 1 species
AUUGAACGCUGGCGGAAUGCUUUACACAUGCAAGUCGAACGGCAGCACGGACUUCGGUCUGGUGGCGAGUGGCGAACGGGUGAGUAAUACAUCGGAACGUGCCCAGUCGUGGGGGAUAACGUAGCGAAAGCUACGCUAAUACCGCAUACGAUCUAAGGAUGAAAGCGGGGGAUCGCAAGACCUCGCGCGAUUGGAGCGGCCGAUGGCAGAUUAGGUAGUUGGUGGGGUAAAGGCUCACCAAGCCGACGAUCUGUAGCUGGUCUGAGAGGACGAGCAGCCACACUGGGACUGAGACACUGCCCAGACUCCUACGGGAGGCAGCAGUGGUGAAUUUUGGACAAUGGGCGCAAGCAUGAUCCAGCCAUUCCGCGGGCAGGAUGGAGGCCCUCGGGUUGUAAACUGCUUUUGUACUGAACGAAAAGGCUCUGGUUAAUACCUGGGGCUCAUGACGGUACCGUAAGAAUAAGCACCGGCUAACUACGUGCCAGCCGCCGCGGUAAAAC